rnacentral:rRNA from 1 species
AAUCUACCCAAUGGAGGGGGAUAGCUCGAGGAAACUCGAAUUAAUACCGCAUAAUCUCUACGGAGUAAAGGGGGCUUCGGCUCUCGCCAUCGGAUGAGCCUAUGCAGGAUUAGCUUGUUGGUGAGGUAAUGGCUCACCAAGGCGACGAUCCUUAGCUGGUUUGAGAGGAUGACCAGCCACAUCGGGACUGAGACACGGCCCGGACUUCUACGGAAGGCAGCAGUAGGGAAUAUUGGACAAUGAGCGAAAGCUUGAUCCAGCCAUGCCGCGUGUGCGAUGACGGCCUUAGGGUUGUAAAGCACUUUAGGUAACGAGGAAAAGUUAGGUGUUAAUACCAUCUAACCUUGACGUUAAUUACAGAAUAAGCACCGGCUAAAUCCGUGUCAGCAGCCGCGGUAAUACGGAUGGUGCAAGCGU